AUUGAACGCUGGCGGCAGGCCUAACACAUGCAAGUCGAACGGUAACAGGAAGAAGCUUGCUUCUUUGCUGACGAGUGGCGGACGGGUGAGUAAUGUCUGGGAAACUGCCUGAUGGAGGGGGAUAACUACUGGAAACGGUAGCUAAUACCGCAUAACGUCGCAAGACCAAAGAGGGGGACCUUCGGGCCUCUUGCCAUCGGAUGUGCCCAGAUUGGAUUAGCUAGUAGGUGGGGUAACGGCUCACCUAGGCGACGAUCCCUAGCUGGUCUGAGAGGAUGACCAGCCACACUGGAACUGAGACACGGUCCAGACUCCUACGGGAGGCAGCAGUGGGGAAUAUUGCGCAAUGGGCGAAAGCCUGAUGCAGCCAUGCCGCGUGUAUGAAGAAGGCCUUCGGGUUGUAAAGUACUUUCAGCGGGGAGGAAGGGAGUAAAGUUAAUACCUGUGCUCAUUGACGUUACCCGCAGAAGAAGCACCGGCUAACUCCGUG
rnacentral:rRNA from 1 species